rnacentral:lncRNA from 1 species
GCUUUUCCUUUGCCUUCUGCCAUGAUUGUAAGUUUCCUGAGGCCUUCCCAGCGAUGUGGAACUGAAACCACACAUUCAAAAUAAUGCUAACCUGUCAAGUUAUUGAUCUGCACUGUACAUAUUUCCUGGUCAUAGGCAGCUUCCACACAAGAACAUCUGGAUGCAAAUUAAAGAAUUCAAUUACUCAAGCCUAAGUGAUAGAGGAGACCUCGGCUACUCUGCCUGAGCACAUCACUGCUGGAUCUCAAAAUCUGCAAGAACUUCCUAGGGCUUCAGGAACUUUCAUGUGCAUACCAGUCACCUGGGAAUCUUGUUACGAUGCAUAUUCUUUUUCAGUAAGCCCAAAUUCUGCAAUUCUUAUAAGGUCUUAGGGGACAUGAUGUUUGCUUCUAGUGGUCCAUGGUCUACUCCUGAAGGUCCACCAUGCCCAGCUUCAUCUCCCCACCCUCUGGAAACUCUCCUGUACCCAAGCCACUUGCUCUCUUCUAAAUAGGCAUUGUGUUCCCAUGUUCCCAUGUGUCUGCCUCUUUCAACUUCUCCUCUAAAAAUUCUCCAUGACCCCCAAGCAUAAGCCUCCAGCAGCAAGCUCAAAAAUGCUUUCUACUCUGUUGUGUUGCCCGGCCCACUUCAAGAGUAGAUGCUCAAUUCCUUCUUCCCCUAGUCGUAUUUGCUGCUACUUUUGCAGGCUGCUGGAACACUUUCACUCUGAGGAUUCUGAUGAACACAGUUCUUGCCCUCUUCACUUUUCCAAUCUGGUUGCAGGCACAGCGGGGGACAGCAGGAGUGCAACACAGUAACUUAAUAUAAUAUGGAGCUGCUAUUAUGGAGGGAAACAUUCACUGCUCUGAAAGGACUCAACAGCUGAGUCUUAAAGAAGGAUUUUACAAGAUUGACAAAGAAAUGGGUUAUCUCCAGAUAGGAAGGAAAAAUCACAAGGAAUAGUACAGCAAGGAAAGAGGAAACAGCACUGGACUUGGGGAAAAGGGAAAUCCUUGAGAUGUUGCUAAGGCAUAAAGAGCAAGACAGAGAGUGUCAGAAGAUGACACUGACGUCACCUGACUCCUGCUGCUGAGCUUCUCUGACAUUUUCUCAAGGGCUCAAGGCUUGGAUACCCUCUGAUAUGGUUUAUCUGUGUCCCCGCCCAAAUCUCACCUUGGUUUGUAAUCAUCUCCAUGUGUCAAGAAUGGGACCAGGUGGAGAUAAUUGAAUCAUGGGGGCAGUUUCCCACAUACUGUUCACAUGGUAGUAAAUAAGUCUCAUGAGCUCUGAUGGUUUUAUAAAUGGGAGUUCCCCUGCACAGGCUCUUUUUGCCUGCCACCAUGGAAGACACCCCUUUGCCCUUCCUUUAUUUUCUGCCACAAUUGUGAGGCCUCCCUAGCUAUGUGGAAUUGUGAGUGCAUUAAACCUCUUUCCUUUACAAAA